rnacentral:rRNA from 1 species
AGAGUUUGAUCAUGGCUCAGAUUGAACGCCGGCGGCAGGCUUAACACAUGCAAGUCGAGCGGUAACAGGGGUAGCUUGCUACCCGCUGACGAGCGGCGGACGGGUGAGUAAUGCUUAGGAAUCUGCCUGGUAGUGGGGGAUAGCCCGGGGAAACCCGGAUUAAUACCGCAUACGUCCUACGGGAGAAAGCAGGGGAUCUUCGGACCUUGCGCUAUCGAAUGAGCCUAAGUCGGAUUAGCUAGUUGGUGGGGUAAAGGCCUACCAAGGCGACGAUCCGUAGCUGGUCUGAGAGGAUGAUCAGCCACAUCGGGACUGAGACACGGCCCGAACUCCUACGGGAGGCAGCAGUGGGGAAUCUUGGACAAUGGGGGCAACCCUGAUCCAGCCAUGCCGCGUGUGUGAAGAAGGCCUUCGGGUUGUAAAGCACUUUCAGCAGGGAGGAAGGCUUACCCCUAAUACGGGUGAGUACUUGACGUUACCUGCAGAAGAAGCACCGGCUAAUUUCGUGCCAGCAGCCGCGGUAAUACGAAAGGUGCAAGCGUUAAUCGGAAUUACUGGGCGUAAAGCGCGCGUAGGCGGUGUGUUAAGUCGGAUGUGAAAGCCCAGGGCUCAACCUUGGAAUUGCAUCCGAUACUGGCACGCUAGAGUGCAGUAGAGGGAGGUGGAAUUUCCGGUGUAGCGGUGAAAUGCGUAGAGAUCGGAAGGAACACCAGUGGCGAAGGCGGCCUCCUGGAC